AGCCGUGUGGUGAACACAGAGCGAACUAUUCUUUCGCCUUUUACUAAAGAAUACCGUGUGUUCGCCACUUAAUGCGGCAUACGCCAAUUUUUGGGAGAACUCUUCUUUGAAGAGUUC